rnacentral:rRNA from 1 species
UACGUAGGGGGCAAGCGUUGUCCGGAUUUAUUGGGCGUAAAGCACGUGUAGGCGGCCAGGUAGGUCCGUUGUGAAAACUCGAGGCUCAACCUCGAGAUGUCGGCGGAAACCGUCUGGCUAGAGUCCGGAAGAGGAGAGUGGAAUUCCUGGUGUAGCGGUGAAAUGCGCAGAUAUCAGGAAGAACACCUAUGGCGAAGGCAGCUCUCUGGGACGGUACUGACGCUGAGACGCGAAAGCGUGGGGAGCGAACAGG